rnacentral:rRNA from 1 species
UACGUAGGCAGCGAGCGUUGUUCGGAGUUACUGGGCGUAAAGAGUGCGUAGGCGGUUUUCUAAGUUUGGUGUGAAAUCUCCCGGCUCAACUGGGAGGGUGCGCCGAAGACUGGAAGGCUAGAGUGUGGGAGAGGUAAGCGGAAUUCCUGGUGUAGCGGUGAAAUGCGUAGAUAUCUGGAGGAACAUCGGUGGCGAAGGCGGCAUCCUGGACCGGUAUUGACGCUGAGGCGCGAAAGCCAGGGGAGCAAACGGG